CCUACGGGUGGCAGCAGUGGGGAAUAUUGCACAAUGGGGGAAACCCUGAUGCAGCGACGCCGCGUGAGUGAAGAAGUAUUUCGGUAUGUAAAGCUCUAUCAGCAGGGAAGAAAUAGCGACCUUUGGGUCGCCAGACGGUACCUGACUAAGAAGCCCCGACUAACUACGUGCCAGCAGCCGCGGUAAUACGUAGGGGGCAAGCGUUAUCCGGAUUUACUGGGUGUAAAGGGAGCGUAGACGGCAGCACAAGUCUGAAGUGAAAUGCCGGGGCUUAACCCCGGAACUGCUUUGGAAACUGUGCAGCUAGAGUGCAGGAGAGGUAAGUGGAAUUCCUAGUGUAGCGGUGAAAUGCGUAGAUAUUAGGAGGAACACCAGUGGCGAAGGCAGCAUACCGGCGCGCAACUGACGCUCAUGCACGAAAGCGUGGGUAUCGAACAGGAUUAGAUACCCGUGUAGUC
rnacentral:rRNA from 1 species